rnacentral:rRNA from 1 species
AGUGAACGCUGGCGGUAGGCCUAACACAUGCAAGUCGAACGGCAGCACAGUAAGAGCUUGCUCUUACGGGUGGCGAGUGGCGGACGGGUGAGGAAUACAUCGGAAUCUACUUUUUCGUGGGGGAUAACGUAGGGAAACUUACGCUAAUACCGCAUACGACCUACGGGUGAAAGCAGGGGAUCUUCGGACCUUGCGCGAUUGAAUGAGCCGAUGUCGGAUUAGCUAGUUGGCGGGGUAAAGGCCCACCAAGGCGACGAUCCGUAGCUGGUCUGAGAGGAUGAUCGGCCACACUGGAACUGAGACACGGUCCAGACUCCUACGGGAGGCAGCAGUGGGGAAUAUUGGACAAUGGGCGCAAGCCUGAUCCAGCCAUCCCGCGUGGGUGAAGAAGGCCUUCGGGUUGUAAAGCCCUUUUGUUGGGAAAGAAAAGCAGCAGGUUAAUACCCCGCUGUUCUGACGGUACCCAAAGAAUAAGCACCGGCUAACUUCGUG